GGGUGAAGCAAACACUCAUUUAAACAACAUCAUCCAGCUUAUCUUCAUGAACAUUUUUUUCAGGAAUCAAUCCUGGUGAUCAAUCUUGGUGAUUUCAAAGUAACAGGUUCGCUGAAAAGCUGAAGAUGUCUCUCAAGAUCUUUGUACUGAUGGCUUGCGUUUCGAUCUGUCUUGCAGCUAAGAGAGAACAGGAAAAAGAAGUUCUUCCAGGUGUUUUCUGUCCAGAAUGUAUUGGCUAUGGAGAUACUGCAAUGAAGGCCAAAGAAGAUUGCUUCGCUAAAGCUAUUGUGAAACGGUGCAAGGAAAUCGAUGCAAUAUGUGCAAAAUUCUCUGGAAAGAAUUUUGACGGGAAAAGCAUGGCUCAUCAGUUUUUAUGUCUGAGCUCAAAAGAUUACGACGAAUUGACAGCUUCUUGUAAAGUACAAGGCUGCAUUGCGUCAAAAGUACAACUGCCGAUGGCAAUCAUUCCAGUUAAAAACUAAACCUUCUUUGUCUGUUCAGGUAUUCAUGUUAUUUGAUGAAAGUUUAGGAAAGUUUAUUUGAGAAAAGUUUGGGUCUGAGCUUUAUCGCUAAUGAUCAUAAAACAAUGGAAUUCGUUAAUGGAUAAAUUAAACCGUACUAAUACGGAUGACACACAGCGCUUAGUUGACCCCAGUCCCCUCUCAUUCUCGUGGGGUGGCUUAUAUUCUCGCUGAUUUCAUCUUUUUUUUCAGUAUACACACAGUUUUCUUAUUUGAUUUGCGACUCGUAUUCAAAGUUUUGUAUUAAUUUAUGUAGUAGUGUCUGUGAUGGAGAAGUCACCCUGGAAACAUUUUGGCAGUCAUGCUUUGUGUCAGUACCCAGUCGGUUGCUGCUUUUUUCGUACUGAAUAAAAACGAUCAUCGUGCA